rnacentral:rRNA from 1 species
GUCGAACGGUAGAUUACUUUCGGGUAAUUGAGAGUGGCGCACGGGUGCGUAACGCGUAUGCAACCUACCCUAUACAGGGGGAUAGCCCGGAGAAAUCUGGAUUAAUACCCCAUAGCACUAUGUUGAGGCAUUUCGAUAUAGUUAAAGAUUCAUCGGUAUAGGAUGGGCAUGCGUCUGAUUAGCUAGUUGGCGGUGUAACGGACCACCAAGGCGACGAUCAGUAGGGGUUCUGAGAGGAAGGUCCCCCACACUGGCACUGAGAUACGGGCCAGACUCCUACCGGAGGCAGCAGGCAGCAAUAUUGGGCAAUGGACGAGAGUCUGACCCAGCCGUGCCGCAUGCAGCAAGACGGCGUUCUGCGUUCUGACUGCUAUUAUUUUGGAAGAAAAGG